AACCCUUUGUGAACUUAUCCCAAAACGUUGCCUCGGCGCUGGCUGCCCCUCCCCUCGGGGAGGGGGCCCGAAUCUCAGGUGGUCAAACACCCGGGAGGAGGACAGCAGGCCCGCCGGUGGCCCACCAAACUCUUGUAUUCUGAGUAACAUCUGAGUAAAGCUUCUAAAUGAAUCAAAACUUUCAACAACGGAUCUCUUGGUUCUGGCAUCGAUGAAGAACGCAGCGAAAUGCGAUAAGUAAUGUGAAUUGCAGAAUUCAGUGAAUCAUCGAAUCUUUGAACGCACAUUGCGCCCUCUGGUAUUCCAGAGGGCAUGCCUGUUCGAGCGUCAUUUCAACCCUCAAGCCUAGCUUGGUGUUGGGGCAUUGCCUUCCCUCGGGAGGGCAAGCCCUGAAAUUCAGUGGCGAGCUCGCCAGGACUCCGAGCGUAGUAGUAAAACCCUCGCUUUGGACUGUUCUGGCGCGGCCCUGCCGUAAAACCCCCAAC
rnacentral:rRNA from 1 species